GCAAUUAGUCUAUGAUGUAUCCCAGCAGGUCAGAGAUUGGUUCAUUAGUUUCCCCUGAGGGCAGGCCUUGUUAAGAACAGGGUGGGCUCCUGUAUUUAAAAACAGUUCCUUUCCCCAACCUCCUCCCUGAAGUUGUAAGGCAAUUGUUUUCUUCUCUAUUUACUUUGGAAACCUGGUGAAGCUCCAGAGGGUAAAUCUCACACUGCGAUUUGUGACUAGAUCCUCCUGGAGUUUGGAACUGUCAAACCUGUCCAAACUCGAGCCUUCGGCAAUUCAUCAAUUACGGUUCAGGUUUUCUGACCCUGGCCCAGGUUCCUGAGGCAGUUUCCACUCCUGAGGCUCUCUGUUCUGGUUUUUUGCCCCGAUGCAGAAGAGAUCAUCCUUGAUGUGAAAUACAUGAAAGAUCCUUUCAAGAUAUUCCUGAAAUUAAAUCAAGCCAGCCAACAGUUGGAGAAGCAUUGCCAGGCGGGUGAACUAGAUCUUUCAUUACCUCUGAAGAUGCUGAGAAUUUGAACCACAAGACUGGCAAAGCUAGUGCACAGGUCUAAGGU